AGCACGUUAUGGUGGGCACUCUAAGGAGACUGCCGGUGGACAAACCGGAGGAAGGUGGGGAUGACGUCAAGUCAUCAUGGCCCUUACGGCCUGGGCUACACACGUGCUACAAUGGUCGGUACAGAGGGUUGCCAAGCCGCGAGGUGGAGCUAAUCCCAUAAAACCGAUCGUAGUCCGGAUCGCAGUCUGCAACUCGACUGCGUGAAGUCGGAAUCGCUAGUAAUCGUGAAUCAGAAUGUCACGGUGAAUACGUUCCCGGGCCUU
rnacentral:rRNA from 1 species